GACGAACGCUGGCGGCGUGCUUAACACAUGCAAGUCGAACGGAAAGGCCUCUUUCGGGGGGUACUCGAGUGGCGAACGGGUGAGUAACACGUGAGUAACCUGCCCUCGUCUUUGGGAUAACUUCAGGAAACUGGGGCUAAUACCGGAUAGGAGCUCCUGUGGCACGGUGGGGGGUGGAAAGUUUCGGCGGUUGGGGAUGGACUCGCGGCUUAUCAGCUUGUUGGUGGGGUAGUGGCUUACCAAGGCGUUGACGGGUAGACGGGCAGAGGGGGUGACCGGCCACAUUGGGACUUAGAUACGGCCCAGGCACCUACGGGAGGCAGCAGUGGGGAAGAAUGCACAAUGGGUGGAAGCCUGAUGCAGCAACGCCGGGUGCGGGAAGACGGUCUUAGGGUUGUAAAACGCUUUCGCUCAUGACGAAGCUUUGUGUGACGGUAGUGGGUAAAGAAGCACCGGCUAACUACGUG
rnacentral:rRNA from 1 species